rnacentral:rRNA from 1 species
UACGUAGGGGGCGAGCGUUAUCCGGAAUUACUGGGCGUAAAGCGCACGCAGGCGGUUCGCCAAGUUUGGAGUGACAGUUGUCGGCUCAACCGACAAAGGACUUCAAAAACUGGUGAACUUGAGGACGAGAGAGGAACAUGGAACUCCAGGUGUAGUAGUGAAAUGCGUAGAUAUCUGGAAGAACACCAAUGGCGAAGGCAAUGUUCUGGCUCGUUUCUGACGCUCAGGUGGCGAAAGCCA